rnacentral:rRNA from 1 species
GGUUAAGCGACUAAGCGUACACGGUGGAUGCCCUGGCAGUCAGAGGCGAUGAAGGACGUGCUAAUCUGCGAUAAGCGUCGGUGAGGUGAUAUGAACCGUUAUAACCGGCGAUUUCCGAAUGGGGAAACCCAGUGUGUUUCGACACACUAUCAUUAACUGAAUCCAUAGGUUAAUGAGGCGAACCGGGGGAACUGAAACAUCUAAGUACCCCGAGGAAAAGAAAUCAACCGAGAUUCCCCCAGUAGCGGCGAGCGAACGGGGAGGAGCCCAGAGCCUGAAUCAGUGUGUGUGUUAGUGGAAGCGUCUGGAAAGGCGCGCGAUACAGGGUGACAGCC